UUCAAAUGUUAGCUCCGCCCAUUCACAGGCUGUAGUUGCGCUGCUUCAGCGUCAACGUCCCACCACACAGUUACUAGCUAGGUUGGUACACGUGCGUGUUCGGCUCUCUGGCAGUGGCACUUAACAGACACCAAGUUUGAAUGUUUCUUCUCUAUUAAUCCGGAGAAGGGGACAAAAGUGGAACAAACAAAAACAAAACGGCUCCAUGUGAAUCCAAGAGUCCUUACUUUGAUUCAGGACCUCUCAGACCAUGAAUGGCGAGCUAUUUAAAAAGUUGUUCCUUCAAGUGGCCGCGACAGUGAACACCCAUAUGUUUCUCUAGAUGUUCUUCUGGAAGCAAUGCAGUUGCAUGUUAAUCUAAGCUUCUGUAACUUGAUUCAUGACCUUUUCAACCAUGAAUGGCGAGCUGUUUGAAAAGUUGUUCCUUCAGUUGACCGUGAACACCCAUGUUUCUCUAGAUGUUCUUCUAGAAGCAAUGCAGUUGCAUCUUAAUCAAGCCUUUACCAUGAUUCACAAGCUCUCCAUGAAUGGCGAGCUAUUUAAAAAGGUGUUCCUUCAAAGUGAUGGAGCCGAUGAACACCUAUAUCACCUUUUUUCGUGGCUCGCUAUUAACAAGGUUCACAUUUAUUCACUCACUCACUACCACACCUCACUCAUAAUUCCUCUCUCUCACAAACACAAGUGCAACCACACACACACACACACACACUUUAAUGAUCUCUUUCUCAUUAUUUUUUUCAACAAUAAAUUUGCAUUAUUGUGAAUUGUAUAAUGUCUGACGAGUGGUUUGUUACAGCCUGACUUUUCAUUUAGAAGUAAUUUGAAGCAAUGUAGA